rnacentral:rRNA from 1 species
UGAGCAAUCUGCCCUUCUCUUUGGAAUAAGCGUUGGAAACGACGUCUAAUGCCGAAUACGACCUCCUUUCGCAUGAUCGGAGGUGGAAAGCUCCGGCGGAGAAGGAUGAGCUCGCGGCCUAUCAGCUAGUUGGUGUGGGUAAUGGCCCACCAAGGCGACGACGGGUAGCCGGCCUGAGAGGGUGACCGGCCACACUGGGACUGAGACACGGCCCAGACUCUUACGGGAGNAG